GAUGAACGCUGGCGGCGUGCCUAAUACAUGCAAGUCGAGCGAACGGACGAGAAGCUUGCUUCUCUGAUGUUAGCGGCGGACGGGGGAGUAACACGUGGAUAACCUACCUAUAAGACUGGGAUAACUUCGGGAAACCGGAGCUAAUACCGGAUGAUAUUUUGAACCGCAUGGUUCAAAAGUGAAAGACGGUCUUGCUGUCACUUAUAGAUGGAUCCGCGCUGCAUUAGCUAGUUGGUAAGGUAACGGCUUACCAAGGCAACGAUGCAUAGCCGACCUGAGAGGGUGAUCGGCCACACUGGAACUGAGACACGGUCCAGACUCCUACGGGAGGCAGCAGUAGGGAAUCUUCCGCAAUGGGCGAAAGCCUGACGGAGCAACGCCGCGUGAGUGAUGAAGGUCUUCGGAUCGUAAAACUCUGUUAUUAGGGAAGAACAUAUGUGUAAGUAACUGUGCACAUCUUGACGGUACCUAAGCAGAAAGCCACGGCUAACUACGU
rnacentral:rRNA from 1 species